UGCUGUUUCGCUGACGAGUGGCGGACGGGUGAGUAAUGUCUGGGAAACUGCCUGAUGGAGGGGGAUAACUACUGGAAACGGUAGCUAAUACCGCAUAAUGUCGCAAGACCAAAGAGGGGGACCUUCGGGCCUCUUGCCAUCGGAUGUGCCCAGAUGGGAUUAGCUAGUAGGUGGGGUAACGGCUCACCUAGGCGACGAUCCCUAGCUGGUCUGAGAGGAUGACCAGCCACACUGGAACUGAGACACGGUCCAGACUCCUACGGGAGGCAGCAGUGGGGAAUAUUGCACAAUGGGCGCAAGCCUGAUGCAGCCAUGCCGCGUGUAUGAAGAAGGCCUUCGGGUUGUAAAGUACUUUCAGCGGGGAGGAAGGGAGUAAAGUUAAUACCUUUGCUCAUUGACGUUACCCGCAGAAGAAGCACCGGCUAACUCCGUGCCAGCAGCCGCGGUAAUACGGAGGGUGCAAGCGUUAAUCGGAAUUACUGGGCGUAAAGCGCACGCAGGCGGUUUGUUAAGUCAGAUGUGAAAUCCCCGGGCUCAACCUGGGAACUGCAUCUGAUACUGGCAAGCUUGAGUCUCGUAGAGGGGGGUAGAAUUCCAGGUGUAGCGGUGAAAUGCGUAGAGAUCUGGAGGAAUACCGGUGGCGAAGGCGGCCCCCUGGACGAAGACUGACGCUCAGGUGCGACAGCGUGAGGAGCAAACAGGAUUAGAUACCCUGGUAGUCCACGCCGUAAACGAUGU
rnacentral:rRNA from 1 species